rnacentral:rRNA from 1 species
UACGGGAGGCAGCAGUGGGAAUAUUGCACAAUGGGCGCAAGCCUGAUGCAGCCAUGCCGCGUGUAUGAAGAAGGCCUUCGGGUUGUAAAGUACUUUCAGUCGUGAGGAAGGUGUUAAGGUUAAUAACCUUAGCAAUUGACGUUAGCGACAGAAGAAGCACCGGCUAACUCCGUGCCAGCAGCCGCGGUAAUACGGAGGGUGCGAGCGUUAAUCGGAAUUACUGGGCGUAAAAGGGCACGCAGGCGGUUAAUUAAGUUGGAUGUGAAAAUCCCCGGGCUUAACCUGGGAAUGGCAUUCAAGACUGGUUAGCUAGAGUCUUGUAGAGGGGGUAGAAUUCCAUGUGUAGCGGUGAAAUGCGUAGAGAUGUGGAGGAAUACCGGUGGCGAAGGCGGCCCCGUCGGACGAAAGAACGUGACGCUCAUGUGCGAAAGCGUGGGGAGGCAAACAAGGAGUUAGAUACC